rnacentral:rRNA from 1 species
CGUGUAGGCGGUUUGUUAAGUCUGAUGUGAAAGCCCCGGGCUCAACCUGGGAAGUGCAUUGGAAACUGGCAGACUUGAAUACGGGAGAGGGUAGUGGAAUUCCUAGUGUAGGAGUGAAAUCCGUAGAUAUUAGGAGGAACACCGGUGGCGAAGGCGGCUACCUGGACCGAUAUUGACGCUGAGACGCGAAAGCGUGGGGAGCAAACAG